AUUUCGGAAGCUAAGCAGGGUCGGGCCUGGUUAGUACUUGGAUGGGAGACCUCCUCGGAAGGCCAGGUUGC
rnacentral:rRNA from 10 species